ensembl:snoRNA
AGGGUGAUGAAGGUCUGCGCCCGGCCCCUUCCCCAACUCUGCUCUGCUCCUGAAG